CAGCGCCGGAUGAGGUUUGCUGCUCUAUUUGCUGCAGCUAGUUUGCUGUUUGUGUGGCCUUUUUGUCGACCUACAGUAGAUGUUUUUUUGACCCCAAAAAUACCUAGUAGAGCCUUAGUCGAGUUAAAUUGAUCGAUGGACUGGAUCAUUAAUGGUUGCUCUAAUAUUGUUAGUUGAAUGAGUAUUUUCAAUACAAAUGAGGUAACUCAUCUUUGCUCUUGUAAUUAUAUUAUACACUAGAUUUCAAUAAAUAUGCUUCCGGUACUACUUUA